rnacentral:tRNA from 2 species
AGGGGUGUAGCUCAGUUGGUAGAGCAGCGGUCUCCAAAACCGCGUGCCAAAGGUUCGAGUCCUUUUACCCCUGCCA